CAUGCAAGUCGAGGGGCAGCAUGAUCUUAGCUUGCUAAGGUUGAUGGCGACCGGCGCACGGGUGCGUAACGCGUAUGCAACUUGCCUUACAGAGGGGGAUAACCCGUUGAAAGACGGACUAAAACCGCAUACACUUGUAUUAUUGCAUGAUAUUACAAGGAAAUAUUUAUAGCUGUAAGAUAGGCAUGCGUCCCAUUAGCUGGUUGGUGAGGUAACGGCUCACCAAGGCGACGAUGGGUAGGGGAACUGAGAGGUUUAUCCCCCACACUGGUACUGAGACACGGACCAGACUCCUACGGGAGGCAGCAGUGAGGAAUAUUGGUCAAUGGGCGAGAGCCUGAACCAGCCAAGUCGCGUGAAGGAAGACAGUCCUAAGGAUUGUAAACUUCUUUUAUACGGGAAUAACGGGCGAUACGAGUAUUGCAUUGAAUGUACCGUAAGAAUAAGCAUCGGCUAACUCCGUGCCAGC
rnacentral:rRNA from 1 species